UUCUGCCGCCACCUGAGCUUGCAUGUAAGGCCGCACCGAUACGCCAUUUCUUUUGCUGUGGUCACCACCGAGGCCAGGAGUUCAAGACCACCCCGGCCAACGUGGUGAAACCCCGUCUCUACUAAAAACACAAAAAUUAGCCGGGCGUGGCGAUGAGCACCUGUAAUCCCAGCUACUUGGGAGGCAGAGGCAGGAGACUUGUUUGAACCAGGGAGUCGGAGGUUGCAGUGAGCCGAGAUCAAGCCACUGCACUCCAGCCUGUGCGACAGACUGAAACUCUGUCUCAAAACAAAAACCAACUUUUUCGUUUUGUUUUGUUUUUUAAGAUACAGGGUCUCACUAUGUUAUCCAGGCUGAUCUCGAACUACUGGCCUCAGGCCAUCUUCCCACGUUGGCUUCCCAAAGCACUGAUUAUAGGCAUGAGCCACCAGACACUCGUCAGGCCGGAGCAGCAGGUGCUGCACAGAGCUGGGCCCAGAGAUCGCCAGCAGGGGACAGUUUAGACAUUCUGAUGUCGGCUCUGCUGAGGGGGGAAGUGGGUGAUUGGUGUCCACAAGCUAGAGCAUGAAAGGGGCUACCUCCCCUUCGAGGCUGACAGCAGCAGUCUAUUCCGGGUGGGGCCCCUGCCCUCCCGCCUCUGCGUCAUCAACUGUCGCCAUCAACAACACGCUCGCCCCCCACCCUGCCACCAGGGACCAUCCGUACACGACCGACAACUCCAAGUAUCCCAAGGGUUACUUUGUCCAGAACACAGACUUUGACUUCUUCAACUAUGCAGGACUACAGCGGUCUGUGCUUCUGUACACGACACCAACUACCUACAUCGAUGACAUCACCAUCACCACUGGUGUGGAGUGAGACAGAGGUGAGAGCUUCUGGUAGGAUCCUCCCUCAGCGGGGCUCAGGGUGGCUCUGUUUGUUACCUGUUUGGAAAGCUCUCCCAGGAAAAAGGUUCUCCCAGCAUCUCUAAACCUUCACAGGUUCCCAUCCACCUACGAAGCUAAAAUCCAGGCUGUCUGCGAGAUCACUCAUGUGGUUGAUCUUGCUUGGAGAAGAGGGGUCUGGCCUAACAUCACAUAGCUCAGGGUGGCAGCCCUGUCCCUUCCCCACGGUGCUGCUCUCACUCUAGCUCCCCUUGAUAUACAUCGUGCUCAAGGAACAGGCAGCUUCAGGGGGCCGGGUGCGGUGGCUCACGCCUGUCAUCCCAGCUCUUUGGUAGGAGGAUCACUUCAGGCCAAGAGUUCAAGACCAGGCUGGGCAACAUAGCAAGACCAUCAGCACAAAAAAUUUAAAAAUUCUCCAGUCAUGGUGAUGUGUGCUGGUAGUCCCAGCUGCUGAGACAGGAGAAUCAGUUGAGCCUGGGAGGUCAAGGGUGCAGUGAGCUGUGACCAUGUCACUGCACUCUGGUCUGGGCAACAGAGGGAGACCCUGUCUUUUUUGUUUGUAUUUGUUUUUGAGCUGGAGUCUCACUCUGUAGGAGCCCAGACUGGAGGGCACUGGUGCACUCUUGGGCUCACUGCAACCUCCACCUCCCAAGUUCAAGUGAUUCUCCUCCCUCAGCCUCCCUAGUAGCAGGGAUUACAGGCACCUUCCACCAUGUCCAGCCAAUUUUUGUGGUUUUUGUUUAGUAGAGACGGGGUUUCACCAUGUAGGCCUGGGUUGGUCUUGAACUCCUGACCUCAGAUGACUCACCUGCCUUGGCCUCCCAAAGUGCAAGGAUUACAGGUGUGAGCUACCGUGCAUGACUGGGAUACCUUGUUUUUAAGGAAAAAAAAUAUAUUUAUUUAUUUAUUUAUUUUUAAUAUAUCUUUUUCCUUUUGUGAGAUGAGGCCUUACACUGUCAACCAGGCUGGAUGGCAGUGGUACAAUGAUUGACAGCUGUUGUGGGGCCGCAGUUGUCAGUUUCAAAGAAUUUAGGCUGGGUGUGGUGGCUAAUGCCUGUCAUCCCAGCACUUUGGGAGGCCAUGGUGGGCGGAUCGCUUGAGCUCAAAGAUUAGAGACCAGCCUGGGCAACAUAGUGAGACCCUGUUUCAAAAAGAAUAAAUAAUUAAAAUAAAUAAAAAAUUUAAAUAAGAAACACACAGGAAAGGUGAUGCAGCAUAGAGCAAUUUAUUGUAAAGGGAAAAAUAUUUUGCAAGUGAAGUGCAGAAUAGCCCGGGCACAGUGGCUGACACCUGUAAUCCCAGCACUUUGGGAGGCUGAGGUGGGUGGAUGACCUGAGGCCAGGAGUUCUAGACCAGCCUGGCCAAUGUGGUGAAACCCCAUCUCACACUGUCUCCAAAAAAAAAAAAAAAAGACAGUAAGUGGUAGUACACACGUGUAAUCCCAGCUACUAGGGAAGCUGAGGCAGGAGAAUUGUUUGAACCCAGGAGGCAGAGGUUGCAGUGAACCAAGAUUGCCCCACUGCACUCCAGCCUGGGGAGCAGAGGGAGGCUCCCUCUCAAAAAAAAAAAUAAUAAUUAGCUGGGCGUGGUGGCAGGUGCCUGUAAUCCCAGCAACUCGGGAGGCUGAGGCAGGAGAAUAGCUUGAACUUGGUGGUCGGAGGUUGCAGUGAGCUGAGAUGGAGUCACUGCACUCCAGCAAUCCUGAGGAGACUUAAGAACUAAACAUAGUAUGGUCUCCUGGAUGAGAUCUUGGAACAGGAAAAGGACAUUAUGGGAAAUAGUAAAGAAAUCUGAAUCAAGAUAAACUUU
rnacentral:lncRNA from 1 species